GGGAGGUGACGGCCUGCCCGGGGCUGGAAGGUUAAGGGGAUCGGUUAGAGUAAUCGAAGCAGUGAACGUAAGCCCCAGUAAACGGCGGCAGUAACUAUAACGGUCCUAAGGGAGCGAAAUUCCUGGUCGGGUAAGUUCCGACCCGCACGAAAGGCGUAACGAUUGGGGCACUGUCUCAACAACAGACUCGGUGAAAUUGUAAUUCCGGUGACGACGCCGGAUGCCUGCGACAGAAAGGCAAGACCUAAUGGCACUUUACUGUAGCUUGACAUUGGGUCUUGGGACUACAUCUACAAGAUAGGUGGGAGGCUUUGAAACCAGGAUGACAGUUUUCGCGGAUGUAUACUUGGGAUCCCACCCUUGUAGUCCCGUGACUCUAACCAUAGGCCAUGAUUCUGAUCAUGGGACACUGUCAGGU
rnacentral:rRNA from 1 species